rnacentral:rRNA from 1 species
GGUUAAGCGACUAAGCGUACACGGUGGAUGCCCUGGCAGUCAGAGGCGAUGAAGGACGUGCUAAUCUGCGAAAAGCGUCGGUAAGGUGAUAUGAACCGUUAUAACCGGCGAUGUCCGAAUGGGGAAACCCAGUGCAAUUCGUUGCACUAUCGUUAACUGAAUACAUAGGUUAACGAGGCGAACCGGGGGAACUGAAACAUCUAAGUACCCCGAGGAAAAGAAAUCAACCGAGAUUCCCCCAGUAGCGGCGAGCGAACGGGGAGCAGCCCAGAGUCUGAAUCAGCUUGUGUGUUAGUGGAACGGUCUGGAAAGUCCGACGGUACAGGGUGAUAGUCCCGUACACCAAAAUGCACAGGCUGUGAACUCGAAGAGUAGGGCGGGACACGUGGUAUCCUGUCUGAAUAUGGGGGGACCAUCCUCCAAGGCUAAAUACUCCUGACUGACCGAUAGUGAACCAGUACCGUGAGGGAAAGGCGAAAAGAACCCCGGCGAGGGGAGUGAAAAAGAACCUGAAACCGUGUACGUACAAGCAGUGGGAGCACCUUCGGGUGUGACUGCGUACCUUUUGUAUAAUGGGUCAGCGACUUAUAUUCUGUAGCAAGGUUAACCGUAUAGGGGAGCCGCAGGGAAACCGAGUCUUAACUGGGCGUUAAGUUGCAGGGUAUAGACCCGAAACCCGGUGAUCUAGCCAUGGGCAGGUUGAAGGUUGGGUAACACUAACUGGAGGACCGAACCGACUAAUGUUGAAAAAUUAGCGGAUGACUUGUGGCUGGGGGUGAAAGGCCAAUCAAACCGGGAGAUAGCUGGUUCUCCCCGAAAGCUAUUUAGGUAGCGCCUCGUGAACUCAUCUUCGGGGGUAGAGCACUGUUUCGGCUAGGGGGUCAUCCCGACUUACCAACCCGAUGCAAACUACGAAUACCGAAGAAUGUUAUCACGGGAGACACACGGCGGGUGCUAACGUCCGUCGUGAAGAGGGAAACAACCCAGACCGCCAGCUAAGGUCCCAAAGUCAUGGUUAAGUGGGAAACGAUGUGGGAAGGCACAGACAGCCAGGAUGUUGGCUUAGAAGCAGCCAUCAUUUAAAGAAAGCGUAAUAGCUCACUGGUCGAGUCGGCCUGCGCGGAAGAUGUAACGGGGCUAAACCAUGCACCGAAGCUGCGGCAGCGACACUAUGUGUUGUUGGGUAGGGGAGCGUUCUGUAAGCCUGCGAAGGUGACCUGUGAGGGUUGCUGGAGGUAUCAGAAGUGCGAAUGCUGACAUAAGUAACGAUAAAGCGGGUGAAAAGCCCGCUCGCCGGAAGACCAAGGGUUCCUGUCCAACGUUAAUCGGGGCAGGGUGAGUCGACCCCUAAGGCGAGGCCGAAAGGCGUAGUCGAUGGGAAACAGGUUAAUAUUCCUGUACUUGGUGUUACUGCGAAGGGGGGACGGAGAAGGCUAUGUUAGCCGGGCGACGGUUGUCCCGGUUUAAGCAUGUAGGCUGAUUGUCCAGGCAAAUCCGGAUAAUCAAGGCUGAGGUGUGAUGACGAGGCACUACGGUGCUGAAGUAACAAAUGCCCUGCUUCCAGGAAAAGCCUCUAAGCAUCAGGUAACAUCAAAUCGUACCCCAAACCGACACAGGUGGUCAGGUAGAGAAUACCAAGGCGCUUGAGAGAACUCGGGUGAAGGAACUAGGCAAAAUGGUGCCGUAACUUCGGGAGAAGGCACGCUGGUGUGUAGGUGAAGUCCCUGCGGAUGGAGCUGAGACCAGUCGAAGAUACCAGCUGGCUGCAACUGUUUAUUAAAAACACAGCACUGUGCAAACACGAAAGUGGACGUAUACGGUGUGACGCCUGCCCGGUGCCGGAAGGUUAAUUGAUGGGGUUAUCCGUAAGGAGAAGCUCUUGAUCGAAGCCCCGGUAAACGGCGGCCGUAACUAUAACGGUCCUAAGGUAGCGAAAUUCCUUGUCGGGUAAGUUCCGACCUGCACGAAUGGCGUAAUGAUGGCCAGGCUGUCUCCACCCGAGACUCAGUGAAAUUGAACUCGCUGUGAAGAUGCAGUGUACCCGCGGCAAGACGGAAAGACCCCGUGAACCUUUACUAUAGCUUGACACUGAACAUUGAGCCUUGAUGUGUAGGAUAGGUGGGAGGCUUUGAAGCGUGGACGCCAGUCUGCGUGGAGCCAACCUUGAAAUACCACCCUUUAAUGUUUGAUGUUCUAACGUUGGCCCCUGACCGGGGUUGCGGACAGUGUCUGGUGGGUAGUUUGACUGGGGCGGUCUCCUCCCAAAGCGUAACGGAGGAGCACGAAGGUUAGCUAAUCCUGGUCGGACAUCAGGAGGUUAGUGCAAUGGCAUAAGCUAGCUUGACUGCGAGCGUGACGGCGCGAGCAGGUGCGAAAGCAGGUCAUAGUGAUCCGGUGGUUCUGAAUGGAAGGGCCAUCGCUCAACGGAUAAAAGGUACUCCGGGGAUAACAGGCUGAUACCGCCCAAGAGUUCAUAUCGACGGCGGUGUUUGGCACCUCGAUGUCGGCUCAUCACAUCCUGGGGCUGAAGUAGGUCCCAAGGGUAUGGCUGUUCGCCAUUUAAAGUGGUACGCGAGCUGGGUUUAGAACGUCGUGAGACAGUUCGGUCCCUAUCUGCCGUGGGCGCUGGAGAAUUGAGGGGGGCUGCUCCUAGUACGAGAGGACCGGAGUGGACGCAUCACUGGUGUUCGGGUUGUCAUGCCAAUGGCACUGCCCGGUAGCUAAAUGCGGAAGAGAUAAGUGCUGAAAGCAUCUAAGCACGAAACUUGCCCCGAGAUGAGUUCUCCCUGAGACUUUAAGUCUCCUGAAGGAACGUU